GUGAAUUUAGUUUAAUAAAAACAUUUGACUUGCACUUAAAAACUCUAAGUUUAAACCUUAGAAUUCACA
rnacentral:tRNA from 1 species